ACUGGAGGGUAAAUGGCUCAUUACCCACCUCCAUGAUUCUGGAGGCGAAGGCACUUGUAGCUCCACCGUUAGCCAGCUGGAUAACAGGCCCAUGUCUGUCCUGGCCAAGCCUGUUUUGCUGUCUGGUUGCUUCGGCCAAGAAGCCUUCCCAGAACCGUGCCCUCCUUCCUCAUGCCUGUGCUUUCUGUGUUGUAUUUCUUUGUAUUUUCUUUUUGCUUAUAAUUUUCUCCCCCCACUGUAAGCCCCAUGAGGACAAGGAACAUGAUUGGUUUUGCUCACUGCCGUAUCUUCCGUACCUAGUACGUAACAGGACAUCAAUAAAUAUUAGUUGAAUGGAAGAUUAAAUCAACAAAAUGGGUGAUGGAUCUCUGCAGUAAGUGGAAGAGUUCUUCAUGGCCCCCAAGGUUAUAUCCAUCUAGAACUUCAGCACGUAAUUUCAUCUGGAAAUAGUGCCUUUGCGGAUAUAAGUUAGGUAAAACUGAAGAUGAGAUCAUACUGGAUUAGGAUGGGAUCUAAAUCCAAUGAAAAUGUCUUCAUAAAAAACAGGAAAGAACCCAUAGAAACACAAGGAAGAAGGUCAUGUGAAGAUGGAGGCAGAGAUUGGAGGGAUGCAGCCACCGGCCCAGGAAUGCCAGCAGCCACCCAGAAGCUGGAAGGAAAUGAGGGAUUCUCUCCUAGAACCUUUAGAGAGAACAUGGUCCUGUGAACAGCUUGAUUUUGGACUUGCCCAUAGCUUGUAUACUCUUACUUUGGAUACAAUUUUAUCCAAACUUGGCUAAACAGUUUCUCAGCCUAUGGAAAAUUUAAAAUGGAGAAGAUUCAACUCGAUUCUUACAGAUUCAAAG
ensembl:lncRNA ARLNC1 androgen receptor regulated long noncoding RNA 1